rnacentral:rRNA from 1 species
UACGUAGGAGGCGAGCGUUGUCCGGAAUUACUGGGCGUAAAGAGCUCGUAGGCGGCCUGUUGCGUCCGCUGUGAAAGCCCGGGGCUUAACCCCGGGUCGGCAGUGGAUACGGGCAGGCUAGAGGUAGGUAGGGGAGAAUGGAAUUCCCGGUGUAGCGGUGAAAUGCGCAGAUAUCGGGAGGAACACCGGUGGCGAAGGCGGUUCUCUGGGCCUUACCUGACGCUGAGGAGCGAAAGCGUGGGGAGCGAACAGG